GUCGUUGUAGCAAUACAAGGCAUACGGUUCAGUAACGCGUAGUCAACCUAACCUAUGGACGGGAAUAACCUCGGGAAACUGAGAAUAAUGCCCGAUAGAACAUUAUGCCUGGAAUGGUUUAUGUUCCAAAUGAUUUAUCGCCAUAGGAUGGGACUGCGGCCUAUCAGUUUGUUGGUGAGGUAAUGGCCCACCAAGACUAUUACAGGUACGGGCUCUGAGAGGAGUAGCCCGGAGAUGGGUACUGAGACACGGACCCAGGCCCUAUGGGGCGCAGCAGGCGAGAAAACUUUGCAAUGUGCGAAAGCACGACAAGGUUAAUCCGAGUGAUUUCUGCUAAAGAGAUCUUUUGUUAGUCCUAGAAACACUAACGAAUAAGGGGUGGGCAAGUUCUGGUGUCAGCCGCCGCGGUAAAACCAGCACCUCAAGUGGUCAGGAUGAUUAUUGGGCCUAAAGCAUCCGUAGCCGGCUCUGUAAGUUUUCGGUUAAAUCUGUACGCUCAACGUACAGGCUGCCGGAAAUACUGCAGAACUAGGGAGUGGGAGAGGUAGACGGUACUCGGUAGGAAGUGGUAAAAUGCUUUGAUCUAUCGAUGACCACCUGUGGCGAAGGCGGUCUACCAGAACACGUCCGACGGUGAGGGAUGAAAGCUGGGGGAGCAAACCGGAUUAGAUACCCGGGUAGUCCCAGCUGUAAACUAUGCAAACUCAGUGAUGCAUUGGCUUGUGGCCAAUGCAGUGCUGCAGGGAA
rnacentral:rRNA from 1 species